UUGGGAAUAUUGGACAAUGGGCGCAAGCCUGAUCCAGCAAUGCCGCGUGAGGGAUGAAGGCUCUCGGGUCGUAAACCUCUUUCAGCAGGGAAAAAGGGAAACUUGAUGGUACCUGCAGAAGAAGCACCGGCUAACUACGUGCCAGCAGCCGCGGUAAUACGUAGGGUGCAAGCGUUGUUCGAAAUCACUGGGCGUAAAGCGCGUGUAGGCGGUUUGUUAAGUCUAAUGUGAAAGCCCGGAGCUUAACUCCGGAAGUGCAUCGGAUACUGGCAAACUAGAGGACAGAAGAGGGAAGUGGAAUUCCUGGUGUAGGGGUGAAAUCCGUAGAUAUCAGGAGGAACAUCAGUGGCGAAGGCGGCUUCCUGGUCUGUUUCUGACGCUCAGACGCGAAAGCAUGGGGAGCAAACAGG
rnacentral:rRNA from 1 species